AUUGAACGCUGGCGGCAGGCCUAACACAUGCCAGUCUAGCGAGCGGCGGACGGGUGAGUAAUGUCUGGGAAACUGCCUGAUGGAGGGGGAUAACUACUUGAAACGGUAGCUAAUACCGCAUACCAUCAGAUGUGCCCAGAUGGGAUUAGCUGGUAGGUGGGGUAACGGCUCACCUAGGCGACGAUCCCUAGCUGGUCUGAGAGGAUGACCAGACACACUUGAACUGAGACACGGUCCAGACUCCUACGUGAGGCAGCAGUGGGGAAUAUUGCACAAUGGGCGCAAGCCUGAUGCAGCCAUGCCGCGUGUGUGAAGAAGGCCUUCGGGUUGUAAAGCACUUUCAGCGGGGAGGCGUUACCCGCAGAAGAAGCACCGGCUAACUCCGUGCCAGCCGCCGCGGUAAUUC
rnacentral:rRNA from 1 species